GAUGAACGCUGGCGGCGUGCCUAAUACAUGCAAGUCGAGCGAACGGACGAGAAGCUUGCUUUUCUGAUGUUAGCGGCGGACGGGUGAGUAACACGUGGAUAACCUACCUAUAAGACUGGGAUAACUUCGGGAAACCGGAGCUAAUACCGGAUAAUAUUUUGAACCGCAUGGUUCAAAAGUGAAAGACGGUCUUGCUGUCACUUAUAGAUGGAUCCGCGCUGCAUUAGCUAGUUGGUAAGGUAACGGCUUACCAAGGCAACGAUGCAUAGCCGACCUGAGAGGGUGAUCGGCCACACUGGAACUGAGACGCGGUCCAGACUCCUACGGGAGGCAGCAGUAGGGAAUCUUCCGCAAUGGGCGGAAGCCUGACGGAGCAACGCCGCGUGAGUGAUGAAGGUCUUCGGAUCGUAAAACUCUGUUAUUAGGGAAGAACAUAUGUGUAAGUAACUGUGCACAUCUUGACGGUACCUAAUCAGAAAGCCACGGCUAACUACGUG
rnacentral:rRNA from 1 species